UUUUAUAACGCAAAACCACAUUUUUCAUGUUGAGCACAGCAAAAAUCCCAAAGGGCAAGGUGGAUAUGUAAAAGCGGCAGACAGUUUCCCCUUAAUUUGAUUAAAACCCGUUUCAUUGGCACUUUUUCACUCUCUGUGCUUCAUAGAAAGGGUUUUAAACAAGUGCAAAAUUCAUGGUCACGUUUAAAUCGGAGGCUCAAGAGCGUUAGUAUUUGCAUUUGCCUCUGUAAUGCAGAGCAACGACCAAGAAAUAGUUACACUUCAAAAGUUACAGGAAACUUUUAACUUUAUGAGAAUAUUAACAACGACCAUAAAUAGAACCACGAGAAACAUAUUUUGCCUAUUUUGCGUAGUUUUGAUCACAAGAUUACUCUCUUGUGUAAUUUGCUGGCUUCUAAAAUACUGGAAUGUGUAGUGUACAUAUUUACGGUUCGAAAUUAUUUUCUAAAUACAAGUCAAAGCAAUGAGAAUAAGAAAGAUUUUUAUUAUUAUUUAUAUGUUUCCACAAGCAUUGCAGAAUUGACUGUUCCAUCUCCAUAUAUUUUACAGAAUUAAACUAAUUGAUUAAUUUUAACUGUCACAAGCUAAAUUCUUUCAAUGAAUCUGGAGACAAACUAUAUGUAAAAUAAUAGUGAAAUUCUACAUUGGCGAACUUUGCUUUGUGGGAACUCAGGGGAAAGAAUUGACCAAACAUGUUAUUAUUCCAGUAUUUUAAGGCAGAAAUCAAUUGUGAGUAAAUCUUUAAUCCGUGCCCAUCUUAUUCUGCUUGAAAUAGCUACAAUGGCAGAUUUCUGGCCUGACACUUUUUUAAAACAGCGUUUUUUAAAUAGCCAGAUGGGUCUGGGUGCAGUUAUUUUUAAAGCAAUCUAUCUUUUAGGGUGAUAUUCUAUUGCUAAGCAUAGAAGUGUCUUUGAUUCAAAGGUGUGUGUGUGUGUUUGGGAAGGGGGGAUUCCAAUUUGGUCAGGAUUUUUGUUUAGCUACUAGAGAGGAUAUUGAUUUUAAAUAUUUUCUUUCGUUAAAAAAAUUACUUGACUGAAGAUUUUGCUCUACAAACUAAAGCCUCCAACGUCACCAGCAGCUUCCCUCCUUCACCAGCAGCAACUGUUUCUAAACAGUUUUUAUUGCGGACCAAUGCCCUUUGCCCAGUGGGUCUCGUCCAUAAACUAGGCAGUAUAUUUGUCCACCCAACUGACUGGCUCAUUAAUGCCAAAAUCGGUGGAAGUUAGGUGGAAGUUGCUUCUCAUUUCCUAAUAAAAAGUUAGUAGAGCGGGAUUAAAAGUGUCUUUUGAGUACACACUGUAUCGGAACGGCACUUCAAUGGUAUUUCGCUCAAAUGCCUCUUUUUUCGGCUCGUAUUGCUUGCUCCUCUUUGGUUGCUUGUAGCUGAAGAACUAAAUCCGUUCUUAGCAUAAUGCAUUGCACAAGGCGUGCAUCGAUCGCUGGCAUCAGGACUCAUCACAUCCAGGAGGUUGCAAUGCCUCUAUAAGAGCUCCAUGAAAAUAAAGGAGGAAAUAACACGGGCAUUGUGUACUUCAAACAUUUGGUUUACUGAAGUCGAAUUGUACUAUGAUUUGUCUUCGAAGAUUGAAUUCUGCAAGGUGCUGAGAGCCCUCAACUUCCAUCAAAAUCAAAGGCCCCUUGGCAGGAACUGAACAUAGAAAUUAUCAUACCAGAUCAGAUCAGUGGUCUGAUUCAACAACAGGAUCCUGACUUCAAGAGUGGCCAGUCCCAGCUGCUUCCCAAGAAUGAGAUAGAAUCAUCGAAGUAAGCAAGCAUGGAAUAAGCUAUCCAAAAGGGGAAGUUUCUUCUUUGCCUCCAUUGGUUAAAGGAUGGCUUAUGCUCUGAAACAUUUUUAGUCCCAUCUAAUGUAAAUCUGGAUGUUUUCAUUACCUUGAGAAAUGGGAAAUUUCUUUUGAAUUGUUGUAAUCUUUGUCUCUGUGAUAUGCUAUGGUAUUGAGUUCCAUGUAUUAAUUAUAUCUUGUGUGAAAAAUAUUUCCUUAUUGGCUUUAAAUUUUCUGCCUUUCUUGUUAAUUGACUGCCACCUUGUUCUUGAUCAAACAAAUGUUUUAGAAAACUUCAUCUCUAAAACCUAUUCUCAUUGAAAAAGUUCCAUUUCAACACUUCUAGCUAAUUACAUACCUGAGUUUUAUCAUUGUACUCCACACUUUGGGGAUGCUAGUAGAUAAGAAAAUAGGCUGCUAUAUGUUUGAAGAUACACCAUCCAAACAAAAAGUCUUUCGCAUCUGUUGACUUUAACUGUAAAUCCUGGAAAGGAAAACUACAGAACUCCUAAUCUAGACCCUCAAGAUUCCUGAAAUGGCCUUUUUGAAACACUUGGGGAUUCUACUACUACUUGUAUUAAAAUAGGGAGAUUACAACCAUAUGCUGUUUAUAAACAGCUGUUAUAAAGGCCUACCUUGUAUGAUCAUACCUUCUACAGGAUUAAUGCACAUGGUUUUGGUCCUCCAAGCCACACCUUUCAGUACAAACUGGACCUGGUCUGUGUCCUAAGAAGGGACCUCAAAUAAUGUUAAUUUUCCAUUUUUGUGAUCAGAUCAUCAUUUAUUUGAAAAAUAUAAAAGGAAUUCCUCUUUACCAUGCUAGUGAGGUUGUCCUCAAACUAUUUUAAUCUCAGCAAGUUUGCAGAAGUCCUUUGAAGGCAAACUCACCCAGCAGCAGAAUUACAGUGUAGACAACCUGAUGAAUCACCACAACUAAUUAUAGUGGUUAAACCACUAGCAUGCUGACCCCCCACCAUGCCCUCGUCUCUUGCAUAUCUCAAAGGUCCUCAGAAGAGGUACAUCACAUGAUUUUAACAGAUUGGGAGAUUAGUAAAAUGUCUUCAGUGCCAAACUCACAGAACUCAAGAUAAAGGGCAGUACAAGGCCCACCUUUUAAUGUCUGCCACAACAAUUAAGUGGGACAAAGAAAACUUUUUGCCCAUAAAAGUAUCCACUAAGUUAAAUCUAUCCCUUUCUCCUAUUUUUAACGUCUGGCUGAAGUCUGUCGGAAAAGAUAGAGAAUAUAGAAACUUUUAGUCACAGUAACUAUAUAGAAUUUCUGUGUUUAGAAUACAUUAUUAUGAUAACGUCAAAGCAAUUCCAUUUACAUUAUAAAGAAAUCUUGUUUGUAAAGUGGUCAGAAAAAAAACCCAAACAUUGUUUUGCAGACCUGUAUUCUGAAUGAAAGUUCACAUAAGACAUUCUUUGAUAAAACAGAAAUAUCUUGUGGUACCACUUAAAUUCACAUAUGAAAAAUAAUUAUUUGAAAUUUAAUGGCCUUUAUAAUGGUAAAUGGUUCUAAAUAUUCUACUUCUGAUAUCCAGUAAAGUUCAUUUCAAAUUUACAAAUUCAUAGUACACAACAACAGACACAUUUUCUUACCUCCAGGAGCUUGCAGCAUUUAUGAAUGUAUACAAUUCUGGAUAAUUUUAUCUGAAAAUAUAAUUUUCCUGUUAUUUAUUCCAGACACAUUUUUCAGUAUCAGACAAACUAAGUUCAUGUCAUAUUCAUUCAAGUCCCGUCAAUGAAUAAGUGAUAUAGAUUAUUUGCCAGUUGUGUUAUUUUAGCCCACUCCACUGAAAACCAGGUACAUAUAAUAUAAAAAAAUUGAGUUAUUUGAAUAUUUUGGGAGCAUGUGGCAGUGCACAAAACUGGAGGUCAUAGUCUUGGACUAUCCAGAUCUCCCAUUCACUUUUGGCCAAUGGCUUAGGCUCUUACUCUGCAAAAAAAAAAAAAAAAAAAAAAAAA